GAUGAACGCUGGCGGUAUGCUUAACACAUGCAAGUCGAACGGACUCUUCGGACUUAGUGGCGGACGGGUGGGUAACGCGUGAGAAUCUGCCUUUGGGUUCGGGACAACCACUGGAAACGGUGGCUAAUACCGGAUGUGCCGAGAGGUAAAAGCGAAAUUGACUGAAGAUGGGCUCGCGUCUGAUUAGCUAGUUGGUGAGGUAAAGGCUCAGCAAGUCAGCGAUCAGUUGCUGGUCUGAGAGGAUGACCAGCCACACUGGGACUGAGACACAGCCCAGACGCCUACGGGAGGCAGCAGUGGGGAAUUUUCCGCAAAGGGCGAGAGCCUGACGGAGGACUACCGCGUGAGGGAAGAAGGCUCUUGGGAUGUAAACCUGUUUUCUUAGAGAAGAACAAAAUGACGGUACCUAAGGAAUCAGCACCGGCUAACUCCGUG
rnacentral:rRNA from 1 species